GGACGGGUGAGUAAUGCCUGGGAAAUUGCCCUGAUGUGGGGGAUAACCAUUGGAAACGAUGGCUAAUACCGCAUAACGUCUACGGACCANAGAGGGGGACCUUCGGGCCUCUCGCUUCAGGAUAUGCCCAGGUGGGAUUAGCUAGUUGGUGAGGUAAUGGCUCACCAAGGCGACGAUCCCUAGCUGGUCUGAGAGGAUGAUCAGCCACACUGGAACUGAGACACGGUCCAGACUCCUACGGGAGGCAGCANUGGGGAAUAUUGCACAAUGGGCGCAAGCCUGAUGCAGCCAUGCCGCGUGUAUGAAGAAGGCCUUCGGGUUGUAAAGUACUUUCAGUCGUGAGGAAGGCGUUGGAGUUAAUAGCUUCAUCGUUUGACGUUAGCGACAGAAGAAGCACCGGCUAACUCCGUGCCAGCAGCCGCGGUAAUACGGAGGGUGCGAGCGUUAAUCGGAAUUACUGGGCGUAAAGCGCAUGCAGGUGGUUUGUUAAGUCAGAUGUGAAAGCCCGGGGCUCAACCUCGGAACCGCAUUUGAAACUGGCAGGCUAGAGUACUGUAGAGGGGGGUAGAAUUUCAGGUGUAGCGGUGAAAUGCGUAGAGAUCUGAAGGAAUACCAGUGGCGAAGGCGGCCCCCUGGACAGAUACUGACACUC
rnacentral:rRNA from 1 species